CUUUAACACAAUAUUGUCUUUUUCUUUCUUUGCCUUUUCACCAGCAAUUUAACUUUUCACUGAAGAUAAGGGAGUCACUGGCUAUCACCCUAUAAGGUUACAUAAGUGAACACAAAAUUAACACAAAUAAAUGAUGAGUGAACUUUCAGCAGACUCCUAAACAAGUCCCUCUAUGACUGUGUAAGAGUUAUACAGCUCACCAGUGAAUCAGGUCAUCAUAUCUGAUCUGAUCUCUGAUCUGCAUGUGUGAACUUUAAUAUCACCCUACUAGACCUCACUCUGGACUUCCUAGUUUUUUAACUCUUGGGGUCUAUUUUUGCUUUAGUCAACUCCACAAGAAGUACAGUGGCAUUUACUGUUCUUACGUCUGAAAUAAGAAAAUUACUCUUCUUAGGGAUGGAAUUAAAAUCAUAGGACUCAUGGGAUAAGUCAGGCUGCAAAGGACCGUCAAGGGGUCUCUAGUCCAACCCCCUUCUCAAAACAGGAUCAACUGUGAGGUCAGAUCAAGUUGUUCUAUGCUGUGUUCAGCUGGGUCUUGAAAACCCCCAAGGAUGGAGACUUCCCUACCUGGGGAACCUGCUCCACUACUAGACUGUCUUCAUAAUUUUCUCUUCCCUUCCCUUCCCCUUUCCUUCCUCUCCUCUCCUCUUCUCUCCUCUCCCCUCCCCUCCUCUCCUUUCCUCUCCUCCCUUCCCUCUUUGUUUGUUUGUUUGUUUGUUUCUUUCUUUCUUUUUCCUCUCUGAUUUCAACUUAUGUCCACUGUCUUCUGUCUUCCCACCAUGCACUGCUUUGAAGAGCCUGUCUCCAUCUUCUUGCUAAUCUCCUCAUAGGUAUUAGAAGGCUGUUGUUGGGUUCCCUGAACUGACUCUGAACAGUCAGUGUCUUUCCUGUACGGGAGGGCCCAAAACCGAAAGCAGUAUUCUGGGACUGGUCUAAAAAUCACUGAGCAAAAGAUGAUAAUCACUUCUCUCAGUCUACUGCCUAUGUUUCUCUUAACACAGCCCAGGAUGCUGUUAGACCUCAUUUCUUCCAGGGCCAGGAAGCUCUACAUGGUUGGGAUAGCUGUCUCAUAAUUUGUCAGGAUCAAGGACCACUGAUGCAGCUCCUUGUUAGAAAAAUUGCACUAAGGACUUCAUCAAGAGAGUAACCUUCUCAAUUUCUUGAAAAUUCUGCUGCUUUCAAGUUGUUGUUUGCAGCUCAACAAAUGGAAGUUGAGCAUGUUAAGAGCUGAUGUGAAAAAUCUCUUAAGUGGAAAACUUAGAAGACAGCUGAAAUCUCCGAACCAAUAAGGACAUACAUUUACUACACCGGAGUCUCCAAUAGAUACCAGAAUCCCAUACUGACAGGUCCUCUGCUCGCUGAACCUCAUUGUUGCUACAACUGCAUGUUGGUGCGGAUUUCUAGGAGGACUAGAAUGGUUUAAAAUCCUUAAUAAAGCUUGCCUUCUCUCUAUCA